rnacentral:rRNA from 1 species
GAGACCCACGCCAACAGUUGCCAGCUCGUCCUCCGGGAUGGUGGGGACACUGUUGGGACCGCCUCUGCUAAAGAGGAGGAAGGAAUGGGCAACGGUAGGUCAGCAUGCCCCGAAUUAACUGGGCUACACGCGGGCUACAAUGGGUGGGACAAUGGGUAUCGACACCGAAAGGUGAAGGCAAUCUCCUAAACCCAUCCUUAGUUCGGAUUGUGGGUUGCAACUCACCCACAUGAAGCUGGAAUCCGUAGUAAUCGUGUCUCAAAAUGGCACGGUGAAUAU